rnacentral:rRNA from 1 species
GCCCGAGUUGUAAUUUGUAGAGGAUGCUUCGAGCAUGGUCUGGCCUAAGUUCCUUGGAACAGGACGUCAUAGAGGGUGAGAAUCCCGUAUGCGGCCGGGUGCCUACGCUUAUGUGAAGCUCCUUCGACGAGUCGAGUUGUUUGGGAAUGCAGCUCAGAAUGGGUGGUAAAUUUCAUCUAAAGCUAAAUAUUGGCCAGAGACCGAUAGCGCACAAGUAGAGUGAUCGAAAGAUGAAAAGCACUUUGGAAAGAGAGUUAAACAGUACGUGAAAUUGUUGAAAGGGAAGCGCUUGCGACCAGACUUGCGUGCGGCCGAUCAUCCGGUGUUCUCACCGGUGCACUCGGCCGUGCUCAGGCCAGCAUCGGUUUUGGCGGCUGGAUAAAGGCCCUAGGAAUGUGGCUCCUCUCGGGGAGUGUUAUAGCCUAGGGUGCAAUGCAGCCCGCUGGGACCGAGGACCGCGCUUCGGCUAGGAUGCUGGCGUAAUGGUCGUAAGCGGCCCGUCUUGAAACACGGACCAAGGAGUCUAACAUCUAUGCGAGUGUUUGGGUGUC